rnacentral:misc_RNA from 1 species
AAGUCGUAACAAGGUCUCCGUAGGUGAACCUGCGGAGGGAUCAUUACUGAGUGAGGGCCUCCAGGCCCGACCUCCAACCCCAUGUUAUCCGACACUGUUGCCUCCGGGGCGACCCGGUCUUCGGGCGUCGGGGCCCCGGGUGGACCACUCAACUCUGCAUCUUUGCGUCUGAGUAAAUGAUGAAUCAAUCAAAA